GGAAGUAAAAGUCGUAACGAGGUUUCCGUAGGUGAACCUGCGGAAGGAUCAUUAAAGAAUUUGCCCCGUCCUCUCGAGGAUGGGUCCUCUUCUAAACCGUGUAUACAUACCUUUGUUGCUUUGGCGGGCCGCCGUCUCGGCGUUGGCUUCGGCUGACUGUGCCCGCCAGAGAACCCCAACUCUUCUGUUUAGUAUUGUCUGAGUACUAUAUAAUAGUUAAAACUUUCAACAACGGAUCUCUUGGUUCUG
rnacentral:misc_RNA from 1 species